AUUGAACGCUGGCGGCAUGCCUUACACAUGCAAGUCGAACGGUAACGCGGGGCAACCUGGCGACGAGUGGCGAACGGGUGAGUAAUGCAUCGGAACGUACCCAGUAGUGGGGGAUAGCCCGGCGAAAGCCGGAUUAAUACCGCAUACGACCUACGGGUGAAAGGGGGGGAUCGUAAGACCUCUCGCUAUUGGAGCGGCCGAUGUCAGAUUAGGUAGUUGGUGGGGUAAAAGCCUACCAAGCCUGUGAUCUGUAGCUGGUCUGAGAGGACGACCAGCCACACUGGGACUGAGACACGGCCCAGACUCCUACGGGAGGCAGCAGUGGGGAAUUUUGGACAAUGGGCGCAAGCCUGAUCCAGCAAUGCCGCGUGCGGGAAGAAGGCCUCGGUUGUAACCGCUUUAGUCUAGGAGAAGUACUU
rnacentral:rRNA from 1 species